AGAGUAGUAUUCACUUAUGAUUUAUAGUUUGCAACUAUUAGGUGCUUCUGAACAGCCUACUUUA
rnacentral:tRNA from 1 species